rnacentral:rRNA from 1 species
UACGUAGGUCCCGAGCGUUGUCCGGAUUUAUUAGGCGUGAAGCGAGCGCAGGUGGUUUAUUAAGUCUGGUGUAAAAGGCAGUGGCUCAACCAUUGUAUGCAUUGGAAACUGGUAGACUUGAGUGCAGGAGAGGAGAGUGGAAUUCCAUGUGUAGCGGUGAAAUGCGUAGAUAUAUGGAGGAACACCGGUGGCGAAAGCGGCUCUCUGGCCUGUAACUGACACUGAGGCUCGAAAGCGUGGGGAGCAAACAGG